CAGUCACCAGGUGAGUGGAACAAUCCCCUUAAGUUUUAAAGUAAAGUAAAUGAACAAAUGAAUGAAUCAUAAAGCAUUGCCCAUGCAUCAUUAUGCCAUGCAAUAUUUCAGGAUGUUUGCAUUAGAAUUCACGAAUAUGCUGCAUUGCAUAAAUUGAUGUUGAUGUGGAUGGUUGUUGGGUGAUCCAUAGUCCUCUGAUGUUAUGUUAUGAUGAUAUGUUAUGGAAGACCAGCGAGGCCCAUUCUACGCCCCUGGCACUAUGUAAGAGAAAGACCAGCGAGGCCCAUUCUACGCCCCUGGCACUUUAGAAUGUUAUGUUAUGUAAGAGAAAGACCAGUGAGGCCCAUUCUACGCCCCUGGCAUUUGGAGAUGUUGAGGACUAAUGGUGACAAUACCAUCCUUUAUGUGAUUAGCUGUGAUGUGUUGCAUUUCAUGAAAGCAUGAAUAAGAAAAAAGAAAGAAAAAGUUAAAUAAUACGAUAAAAUAAAAUAAUAAUAAUAAUAAUAAUAAUAAAAUGAAUAAUAAUAUACCUAAAAAUGGAGGAAUUAAAGCAAAUGUUUUUAGUUUCUGCUCAUUGGGCUUUAUAGCUCACCCCCUCUCCCCUAACCCCAGUCUUGCAGGUGCAGAGUAGAUAGAGAAGUCAGCAGAGUAAGAGAAGUUUAUGUAAUAGCUUAGCUGUGGACAUGGUUUGUUGGUAAUGUAAAAGUAUGAGAUGUAAUGUAAUGUAAGUUUGAUAAUGUGCUUGACUAGAGUCUGUUGUAUUCCCUGUACACAUGGUCUUAUAUGAGAUAUAAUGUUUUUAUGAUGCCUAUGUAAUCCAAGCCUAUGUUAUGUUAUGUUACCCCAUUGGAGUAUUUGAUGAGGACUCCAAUGAGAGGUUUAUGUUAUGUUUGUGCAUGCACAGGCUAGGCUUGGCAAAGAAAUGUUUGAAUGAAAGAAAAGUUUUU
rnacentral:lncRNA from 1 species